AGAGGGUGAAAGCCCCGUAUACGAAGGUUUGAUGAGGAACUAGGCACGCGAACAAGUAGGCCGGGACACGUGAAAUCCUGGUUGAAGAUGGGUGGACCAUCAUCCAAGGCUAAAUACUACUUACUGACCGAUAGUGAACCAGUACCGUGAGGGAAAGGUGAAAAGAACCCCGGAGAGGGGAGUGAAAUAGAAUCUGAAACCGUUUGCGUACAAGCAGUGGGAGCAUGGUUUAGGCUGUGUGACUGCGUACCUUUUGUAUAAUGGGUCAGCGAGUUACUUUCAGUGGCGAGGUUAACUGAAUAAGGGAGCCGUAGAGAAAUCGAGUCUGAAUAGGGCGAUAGUCGCUGGGAGUAGACCCGAAACCGGGCGAUCUAGCCAUGUGCAGGAUGAAGGUUGGGUAACACCAACUGGAGGUCCGAACCGGGUAAUGUUGAAAAAUUAUCGGAUGACGUGUGGCUAGGAGUGAAAGGCUAAUCAAGCCCGGAGAUAGCUGGUUCUCCCCGAAAGCUAUUUAGGUAGCGCCUCGUGAAUGAUUACUGGGGGUAGAGCACUGUUUCGGCUAGGGGGCUGUCAUGGCUUACCAAACCGAUGCAAACUCCGAAUACCGGCUAAUUGAAUCACGGGAGACACACGGCGGGUGCUAACGUCCGUCGUGGAGAGGGAAACAACCCAGACCGCCAGCUAAGGUCCCCAAGUACUAGUUAAGUGGGAAACGAUGUGGGAAGGCAUAGACAGCCAGGAGGUUGGCUUAGAAGCAGCCACCCUUUAAAGAAAGCGUAAUAGCUCACUGGUCGAGUCGGCCUGCGCGGAAGAUGUAACGGGGCUAAAACUAGUCACCGAAGCUGCGGAUGUGCGCGAAGGCGCACGUGGUAGGGGAGCGUUCUGUAGGCUGAUGAAGGUGCAUUGAGAAGUGUGCUGGAGGUAUCAGAAGUGCGAAUGCUGACAUGAGUAACGAUAAUGUGGGUGAAAAGCCCACACGCCGGAAGUCCCAGGUUUCCUGCACGACGUUAAUCGGAGCAGGGUGAGUCGGCCCCUAAGGCGAGGCUGAAGAGCGUAGUCGAUGGGAACCAGGUUAAUAUUCCUGGACUUUUUAUAAGUGGUGAAGUGGGGACGAAGAAGGCUAGGUGAGCCAGGCGUUGGUUGUCCUGGUACUUGCAUGUAGGGGGGAAGACUUGGCAAAUCCGGUUUUCCAUAACUCUGAGGUGCGAAGUGGUUCUGACCUUUUGGUACAGAGAAGUCAUUGAUGCCCGGCUUCCAGGAAAAGCUGCUAGCCAUAACUUAUAGAGAACCGUACCGCAAACCGACACAGGUGGACAGGUAGAGAAUACUAAGGCGCUUGAGAGAACUCGGGUGAAGGAACUAGGCAAAAUGGUACCGUAACUUCGGGAGAAGGUACGCCCUUUCUGGUGAUGGGAUUUACUUUCAGAGCUGGAGAGGGCCGCAGAGACCAGGUGGCUGCGACUGUUUAUUAAAAACACAGCACUCUGCAAAUUCGUAAGAAGACGUAUAGGGUGUGACGCCUGCCCGGUGCCGGAAGGUUAAUUGAUGGGGUUAUCUUCGGAGAAGCUCUUGAUCGAAGCCCCGGUAAACGGCGGCCGUAACUAUAACGGUCCUAAGGUAGCGAAAUUCCUUGUCGGGUAAGUUCCGACCUGCACGAAUGGCGUAACGAUGGCCACACUGUCUCCACCCGAGACUCAGUGAAAUUGAAAUCGCUGUGAAGAUGCAGUGUACCCGCGGCUAGACGGAAAGACCCCGUGAACCUUUACUAUAGUUUUGCACUGGACUUUGAUGAUGACUGUGUAGGAUAGGUGGGAGGCUGUGAAGUGAGGACGCUAGUUCUCAUGGAGCCGCCCUUGAAAUACCACCCUGUUGUUAUUGAGGUUCUAACUUGGUCCAGUAAUCCUGGAUGAGGACAGUGUAUGAUGGGUAGUUUGACUGGGGCGGUCUCCUCCCAAAGAGUAACGGAGGAGCACAAAGGUACCCUCGGUACGGUCGGACAUCGUACCAAGAGUGUAAAGGCAAAAGGGUGCUUGACUGCGAGAGUGACGGCUCGAGCAGGAACGAAAGUUGGUCUUAGUGAUCCGGUGGUUCUGAAUGGAAGGGCCAUCGCUCAACGGAUAAAAGGUACUCCGGGGAUAACAGGCUGAUACCGCCCAAGAGUUCAUAUCGACGGCGGUGUUUGGCACCUCGAUGUCGGCUCAUCACAUCCUGGGGCUGAAGCAGGU
rnacentral:rRNA from 1 species